AUGGGGACGGCUGCAAACAGAAAUGGCAUAGGCAUCUUGAUCAACAAGAGCCUCAAGUAUGGAGUGGUAGACGUCAAGAGACGUGGGGACCGGAUUAUCCUGGUCAAGCUGGUAGUUGGGGACUUAGUUCUCAAUGUUAUCAGCGUGUAUGCCCCACAAGUAGGCCACAAUGAGAACACCAAGAGGGAGUUCUGGGAAGGCCUGGAAGACAUGGUUAGGAGUGUACCAAUUGGCGAGAAGCUCUUCAUAGGAGGAGACCUCAAUGGCCACGUGGGUACAUCUAACACAGGUUUUGAAGGGGCGCAUGGGGGCUUUGGCUAUGGCAUUAAGAAUCAAGGAGAAGAUGUCUUAAACUUUGCUCUAGCCUACGACAUGAUUGUAGCUAACACCCUCUUUAGAAAGAGAGAAUCACAUCUGAUGACUUCUAGUAGUGGCCAACACUCUAGCCAGAUCGAUUUCAUCCUCUCGAGAAGAGAAGAUAGGCGUGAGUGCCUAGACUGUAAGGUGAUACCUGGAGAGAGUAUUGUACCCCAGCAUAAGCUGGUGGUUGCUGACUUCCGCUUUCGGAUUCGUGUCCAGUGGGAUAAGCGUGCCAAAGUCGCUAGAACGAAGUGGCGGAAGCUCAAGUGGGAGGUAGCUCAGGCGUUCAAGGAGAGGGUCAUUAAGGAGGGCCAUUGGGAGGAAGGAGGGGAUGCGGACAAUGUGUGGAUGAAGAUGGCGACUUGCAUUCGUAAGGUGGGCUCGGAGGAGUUUGGGGUGUCCAGGGGAAGGAGAAGCGAAGAUAAGGAUACCUGGUGGUGGAAUGAUGAUGUCCAGAAGGCGAUUAAAGAGAAGAAAGAUUGCUUCAGACGCCUAUACUUGGAUAGGAGUGCAGACAACAUAGAAAGGUACAAGAUGGCGAAGAAGGCCACAAAGCGAGCUGUCAGUGAAGCAAGGGGUCCGGCAUAUGAGAACCUCUACCAACAGUUAGGCACGAAGGAAGGCGAAAAGGACAUCUAUAAGAUGGCCAAGAUCCGAGAGAGGAAGACGAGGGAUAUUGGCCAAGUCAAAUGCAUCAAGGACGGAGCAGACCAACUCUUGAUGAAGGACGAGGAGAUUAAGCAUAGAUGGCGGGAGUACUUCGACAAGUUGUUCAAUGGAGAGAAUGAGAGUUCUACCAUUGACCUGGAUGACUCCUUUGAUGAGACCAGCAUGUGUUUUGUGCGGCGAAUCCAGGAGUUUGAGGUCAAGGAAGCUUUAAAAAGGAUGAAAGGAGGCAAGGCGAUAGGCCCUGAUUGUAUCCCCAUCGAGGUGUGGAAAGGCCUCGGGGACAUAGCGAUAGUAUGGCGAACCAAGCUUUUCAACCUCAUUUUUCGGGCAAACAAGAUGCCAGAAGAAUGGAGACGGAGUAUAUUAGUACCAAUCUUCAAGAACAAGGGGAAUGUUCAGAGUUGUACUAAUUACCGUGGAAUUAAGUUGAUUAGCCAUACAAUGAAGCUAUGGAAGAGAGUCAUUGAGCACCGCUUAAGAAGAAUGACAAGCGUGACCAAAAAUCAGUUUGUUUUCAUGCCUGGGAGGUCGACAAUGGAAGCCAUUUUCUUGGUACGACAACUUAUGGAGAGUUACAGGGACAAAAGAAAGGCUUGCAUAUGGUGUUCAUUGACUUGGAGAAGGCCUGUGAUAAGAUACCACAGAGUGUCAUGUGGUGGGCCUUGGAGAAACACAAAGUCCCAGCAAAGUACAUUACCCUCAUCAAGGACAUGUACGAUAAUGUUGUGA
rnacentral:rRNA from 1 species